rnacentral:rRNA from 1 species
GACGAACGCUGGCGGCGUGCUUAACACAUGCAAGUCGAACGGGAUUUAGUAAACAGAAGCCUCGGUGGAAGAUUACUAAUGAGAGUGGCGAACGGGUGAGUAACGCGUGAGCAACCUGCCUAUGACAGUGGGAUAGCCUCGGGAAACCGGGAUUAAUACCGCAUAAAAUCGUAGAAACACAUGUUUUAACGGUCAAAGAUUUAUCGGUCAUAGAUGGGCUCGCGUCUGAUUAGCUAGUUGGUGAGAUAACAGCCCACCAAGGCGACGAUCAGUAGCCGGUCGGGGAGAGGGCCCGACCAGAUGGGAGCUGAGCCCCGGACAAAACUCCGAGGGGGGGGAGGGGGGGGAAAUAUAGCAGAAGGGGGAAACCCGUGAUGAAGCCACGCGGGGGAAACAAAAAGGGUGUUGGUAACGAAAUUUCGUCUCUGAUGAAAAGAUAGUGACGGUACCAGAGAAAAAAGCCCCGGCUAAAUACGUG